UUCGAGACUUGCGAGACCACUUCUCGCAGC
rnacentral:sRNA from 1 species